ensembl:lncRNA
CCCCCCCCCCAAACCACCACCACCCCGACGCACAGAAGAGAAAAAAAACAGCCAGAUGGAAACAGGUGGAAACUGGAUGCCGAGGCGUGGUGGGAGGUUGAGGACGAGGAGGUGACGAGGGGAUCCGAGGAGGGAGCGUUUGAUUUCCGUGUCGGCGCCGGGCAGAAUAAUAUGGUUGUUGUUUUUUUUCUUUCUUUCCUUUUUGAGGGACUUGUUUUUUUUUCCCCGACAAGCCCGCGGUUCUAUUUACCGCCUGCUGUGCACCUCUGGAGAGGAGACGCCAGGAGCCACUACACCAGCGGAUCAGGGGGACGCAUCGGCCCAACGGGGGGACGGACGGACGGACAGACAGACAGAGACACAGAGAGAGAGAGAGACGUUUUCGUCCCGUUUGAUUGGGUGUCUCACCGCGAAGAACCUCCACCUCCCUCCCUCCGCCUUCCUCCUCCUGCCUUCACCUCCACACGACGCCUCACUUCCUCCCGCCAACCACGAGACUCCCCGCGGUUCCACUCGGAGGCCCGGGAAGGACGGACGGACGGACGGACGGACGGACGGACGGACGGACGGACGGAGGGAGGGGGGAGAGAGGGGAGAGAGGAGGGGAUGGGGAAGGAGACGGUGGGUUAACAGAUGGAACUCCAGUCUCCCUGGUUUGCCGCCCCUCCUAAACGGGUGGCCGGGAUAUAGCUUUGUUUAGUUCCCUAACGUGCAGUCUGCGUUACACCCAAUUAAACACAUCACCCCAGCACACUAGCCAGGAAACAGGCAGACACAGGCAACCCCCCUCCUCCACCCCCCAGGACACCACCCGGCUCAGCCUGCUCCACGCCAUGUGUGUGUCUGUAUGUGCGUAGAAAAAGAGUGUGUGUUUGUGCGUAAAACGUGCGCUAGGGCUUCACGCUGGGCCAGGGGAGAGGUUUUUUUCCGGAUAGCUCAGGUAAUCGGACACAAGAUGUGUGUUGUUGACGUGUGUGUGUGUGUGUGUGUGCGUGUGCGUGUGUGUGUGUGUUCCUCUCUCCCCUUUUCCGCACCUCUUUGACGUUACUUGCCUUACUUACUGUUUUUGAUGGAGGACACGUUCCUUGCUCCUGAUUCAGUUCACAAAGCAGUUGUAUUUUGUUAGACUUUUCCUACUAAGUGCACAAUGUAUAAAGCUAUGACUAGUUCUUGAUCGUCACUCCUAAUUUUAAUCACACGGGAAAAAAAAAAACAUCAUCACAUCUCAUGUCCAUGAAUAAAUCCCUGACCCGGACAACCAAUGUCCUCUAUGGGGUUUAUGUCUAUUUGUAUUGCAUACGUGUGUGUGUGUGUGUGUGUGUGUGUGUGCGCGUGUGUGUGUUUGUGUGUGUGGGGGCUUGUGUGUGCUCUGGGAAUACGUCACUUCUUCACUGGUCUGAUAAGGUCUUAAUCAUUACCCAGGAAUUUAUGACUCCCUGCCAGCGCGUAUUAGAGCGGAAGGUGUGGCUGAAAGUAUGCGCAACUGUGUGUGUGUGUGUGUGUGUGUGAGUGUCAGUGUGUGUGUGUGUGUCAGUGUGUGUGUGUGUGUGUGUGUGUGACAGAGAGCAUGAGAGAGGGAGAUAGCGAAGGAGAAGUGAAACAGAGGGGGAGAUCAGCACCGACAUGCCCAGGCCGGUCCUGUGUCUGGGCAGACGUUAAUAGCUCACUGUAUCAUCGUCAGCAGGGGGUUGCAACACUACAGACAGACGCACAGACAGUCAGACGCGCCCGACAGGCAGACGUGCCUGAGAUCUAUACCCGCUACAUAUCGCCUCCCCCGCCAACACCACCACCACCACCACCACCGUCAGCAUGGUGCUUGGCUCCCUGACUGAAGGUGUGAUUGUGUGUGUGUGUGUGUGUGUGUGUGUGUGUGUGUGUGUGUGUGUGCGUGCGUGUUUGUGUGUGUAGACCCCAGGGAGGACGGCAGGCACGUUGGGAACCGUCAGCGGCUUCUGUUCUCCUGAUGGGGCCGAGGACUGGGUGGGCGUACGUCAAACGCGUGUCAGCGAUUGGAUGGCCUAGAUUGUUUCGGAGUGUCCUAUAUAAGCUGGAUGCUGCACGGGCGCCAGUGAGGGAGGAAUAUGGGAGCUUACUGUAUUGGCAGGUGCCUGUUGGCGGGGCCCAUCUGUGAGUGAGUCAGGCAGUGUGAGCGGCCGUGCCAGCCUGCGACUCCGCUGGCUGCCAUCUUGUCCCUGCAGCUCAGAGAGGGACGGGGAGGAAGGAGCGAAUGUUCCUGUGACUUGGCUGCAUCCUGGGAGGAUGAAAGCGGGAGGUGUUUGUGUGACAGUGUGUGUGUCAGUGUGUGUGUCUGUGUGUGUGUGUGUGUGUUUUUGAUGUGGGCAGGUCGAAGGAAACAAGCAGUUAUUCGCAUUAGUGUCCCCAACGCCGGUGCCAGUCGUGUUAUGAAUCAAAAUGUCGCGUGCGAUUAUAUUCCACCAUGCCGGGGGUUUUUCCUCGACUGUUGAGACUGCAGCGGCGCCGCUAUCACAUCGCCCCGCGUAGCAGUACCUCCACACACACGAGCACAUACACACACACGCAUAGGGUUUACUGCAACAGAACGUGUUCACAUACACACACACACACACACACUUACUUUUCUGGGGGCACUGUUUAAACUGUGCUCUGAGGUAGAAGUAUGCACAUAACAGGUUUUUUUUUGAGUCGGUGCUCCUGUUUGUGUGUGUGUGUGUGUGUGUGUGUGUGUGUGUGUGUGUGUGCACAAGGCGGGAGCCCAUUUCUGCACCGUUGGUGCUUAUACGUGCAGUUUCCCGUGUGCUUCAGUGUGCUUUGUGGCUAAGCAGCCGAACUGCCUUGUCUUCGUAUUGGAGCGAGGUGCACUGAAGAGUACGUCUGCCAAAACACUAAGCUGCACAGCCCCAGUUAAUGAUGUGUGAGGAGAGACAAGGGCAGAUAAGGACAGCAAUUCUUCUGACACACACACACACACACACAGACGCACGCAACCACAAAUGCACACACACGUGCAUACCUGCGUACCCACACACAAACUCUUAACUGCUAGACGGACAGGUCCAGGUCGAUCAACAGUCAAAGACUAGCUGUCGGUCGCUGUUUAUUCACCAACGUUCCCAUCCCUGGUGAGGAGCUGGAGGGGGGGAGAUGAGCAGAGCAGACGCCCUGCCCUCUGGGACCACGAGAACCUUUCAGACAUCGGGCUCUGUCUCUCGUUUUCUUUAAACCCAACCCUUCCCCGGACCCCCCUGUCCCAGCCCACCCCCACCUCGAACCACUCCACCCAUCACCCCAGAGUUAACCACCAAACCAGCUGUCCUCUGCGAGUCUCCUCCCCAGGCUCCUCUGCCUUUUAACUGUGUGUGCAGGGCGGGGGGGGUGGGGGCCAGUGAUUAGGGGCCCCUCUGUGAAAGUCAUUUAAAGUGAAAUAUUUGUGUGUGUCUGGGGUUGAUGUUCGUGCUCACCGCCGUACACAAGCCAAGGGAGUCAUUUCCUCUCGCCACCCGCCCAUCAUCUCUCAUCCCCACCCAUCCCCCGCGCACCACUUAAUGUUAUUUGAAUUUGGCGGAGAGGGCAGGGGGGAAAAAUGAAAACGGUGAUAAAGAUAAAAAUGGUGAUAGAGAAAUGUAAAUAUAUGGAUAGAGCCCCCCCCGAUUUAAGAUGUAAUUUCACCCUGAACACUGCUCUUAUAAAAAAAAAAAGAAAAAUAAGAUUAGAUUUUUGUAAGGUUGUUUGUAAAUAGCUGUCUUUUUAAAAAAGUGUGUUUUGUAUGAACCCCCUCGCGUCUCUCUGUUUGCAAUAUGUUUUCCUUUUUUUUUUUUCCUUUUGUUUUUAGGAGUCAAAACAAUGAAUAUUGCAAUGGACACACGGGCUGUCUUUUUCCACAGUCGAUUAUUGUAAGCGCGUCUCUGUUAUCCCCCCACACCGCCCCUCCACACAUUUAACAAAUAAAAAUCGCUGGUUUCACAGAGUUCCUUUUAAGUUUGACAUCAGUGUUCGACAGCAUCAACGCUGAGUCUCCGGAAACUUCCGGAGUUCGCUCUUCUGUCAUGCCGUCUGUCAUGCCCCCCCCCCCCUCCCUGGAGCACAGGGCUCUGGUAACAGAGAGGUCGGUGGUAAACCUUUGAGUAGCGAAAGGCCCUCUUCCCUUAAGGACACGGCACUUAAGUGUUGCAUAUAAAGACCGUGUGUACGUUACUCCACCGCCUCGCAAGUUUCCCUUCUCCCCCUUACAUUAUGAAACGUAACAAUAGCAUUCAGUCCACAAAGAUUAAUCUAUCCUCGGCUGUAGCGGUCCCACUGCCUCAGACCUAGGGAGACAGAGAGAGAGAGAGAGAGAGAGAGAGAGAGAGAGAGAGAGAGGGGAGGGAGAGAGCGGAGGUAGAGGGGGGGGGAAGGUGGCACACAUAAGUAUGACGGUGUAGUGUUCCCCAAUAAAUCAUCUAGUGUACACCACUCAGUAUCUCCCUGCCGGUACUUUGUUUUAGAGUUGCUCUCUCCUUCACCCCUCCCCCCCUAUUCCUCCACUCCGCUUCUCUCUCGCUCUCUCUCUCCCUUUUGUCACCCCCCCUCCCCGACCACCUCCCCAUUUCCACAAUUUAGCACAAGGAUGUCGCCAUCACUGUGUAGGAGGAGUUCUGCUAUUGUUCAAAGCCACAGUAUUAUUUUUCAAUGUGCAUGUGUAAGCGGAAAAAAAAAACCUGUUGAUUUUUGUUUUCCUUGUUGUUUGAAUCAUAACUGUCAAGUUUUUAUUUUUAUUUCAAUUUAUUGCUUUGCCAUUCACACUUUGCCCGCUUCUCAGCGUAACCUAUUGGCACCAGCUACAAUGGAAGAAAAUUGUUCCACCAGUUGGAAACUACCGCAUAUUGAUAAAUAAAACUUUUUUCCCA